rnacentral:rRNA from 1 species
GACGAACGCUGGCGGCGUGCUUAACACAUGCAAGUCGAACGAAGUGGCGAACGGGUGAGUAACGCGUAAUAAACCUGCCCUUCAGAGGGGAACAACAGUUGGAAACGACUGCUAAUCCCGCAUACUGAAGGUGGGGAGUGCGUCUGUUUGGCUAGUUGGAGGGGUAACGGGCCACCAAGGCGAUGAUUAGUAGCCGGUCUGAGAGGAUGAACGGCCACAUUGGGACUGAGACACGGCCCAGACUCCUACGGGAGGCAGCAGUGGGGAAUCUUCCGCAAUGGACGAAAGUCUGACGGAGCAACGCCGCGGGAGUGAUGACGGCCUUCGGGUUGUAAAGCUCUGUUAAGCGGGACGCGGUACCGGAAUAGAAAGCCACGGCUAACUACGUGCCAGCAGCCGCGGUAAUUC